UACGUAGGGUGCAAGCGUUAAUCGGAAUUACUGGGCGUAAAGGGCGCGUAGGCGGCCUUCUAAGUCGAACGUGAAAUCCCCGGGCUCAACCCGGGAACUGCGUCCGAUACUGGAAGGCUUGAAUCCGGGAGAGGGAUGCGGAAUUCCAGGUGUAGCGGUGAAAUGCGUAGAUAUCUGGAGGAACACCGGUGGCGAAGGCGGCAUCCUGGACCGGCAUUGACGCUGAGGCGCGAAAGCCAGGGGAGCAAAUGGG
rnacentral:rRNA from 1 species